UGGAGCUGAAAGAGAUGUUAGGAUCAUCAGGUCACAUCUCAAAGGUGGAGGGACCUCAGCAAGAAAACUCCUAACGCAUUAUAUCUGGCAAAUGACCAUCUAGCCUUUGCUUGAAGACCUCUGGGAGAUGACUAAAGUGGCUCUCAGUGAAGUUAAUGUCAUGCCUUGGGGAUCCAGGUAUUAUUAUCAUCCAAACAUAUAGCCCCUUAUCCAGUGGAGCAAGACCAAGACCCAGAGAUGUGUUCAAAUUGCAAUUCUGUCUCCUUUGUGCAACUUCAAGAUAAGAGUGGUGGUACCCUCUUCAUGAAGUGCAAGCCAUGCUCAGAGUCAGAUGUGGGCACAUAGCCCACAUAUUUCAGAGGCUGUGAAUGCAUGCUGUGAAUUAGCCAUACAAGCAAUCCACCACACUAGAUAUUUCCGAGAAAGAACACUGAGUACAGUACCUGCCUCUGCCCAGAGAAGAAGCAUCUCAUGGAGAUCCAAUUUGAGGAAAGAAGACUGCAAUGGGAGGGAAGAACUGCUAUCAAAAAAGAGCCUUUGUUCUCUCAUUCUUUGACUUCAUAUUUUUGUAGCAACUGUGCUCAUUUCUUUUUUCUUUUGAGGGGAAAGGCAGGGCAAAAUCGGGGUAAGUGACUUGCCCAAGGUCACACAGCUAGUAAGUGUGUCAAGUGUCUGAGGCCAGAUUUGAACUCAGAUCCUUCUGACUACAGGGCCAGUGCUCUACUCACUGCACCACCUAGCUGCCCCCAUACAAUUGUGCUCAUUUAGACAUUUCUCCAGGCUCGGUAAAGGGCAUGAUGGGAGAAGGGACCCAGCUUUUGGUGACUCUAACCUGACAAUGUGCUGCUCUUGCUGUGCAAAGACAGUUCAAUUAAUCCACCACCGACAGGAAGGGCAUCUGAGACUGUUCUUUGAGCGGUCCUAAAAGGAAUGUGGAAUUCUAAGAAAUUCGACUCACCCUGGUCUCUACCCAUUUGUGGCCGAUAGCACACACUUGUCAAGUGAGGGCAGUAUGAAGGUAGUUGGUGCUUUGUGGGAGCUGGGGGAGCGGAAGGAGUGAGAAGACUUUGGGGAGUAAUAAAAGCUAAAAAGAAAGCUUUGCAAGGGACAAAUAGGAAUAUCUCACAUUCCUUUACUCAUACCUAAGGCUGGCAUUCCUUCCUUUUCCCCUUACAGAAACAACUUUUAGAUGGUGUUUUAGGGUUUGCAAAAUAUCUUACACAUGUUAUCUCAUUUGACCCUUACAAUGUUACCAUGAGGAAAAUUUUACAGAUAUUAUUAUUCCCAUUUCACUGAGAAAAAUGAAACCAAGGGAAGAUAAGCACAAAUAGAUUGUCAGGCUAGAUUAGAUAAAGCAUUGAUUGUUUACUACAUGUGGGGCACUGUGCUGGAGCAGUGUCUAGAGUAGAAUUUAAACCUAGUCUUCCUUAUUUCAAUAAAAUAUCAAUUUCAAUAAAAUUCCUGAGACUCCAGAUCAUUGAAUCUGCAUCCCUGAGGCCUAGCACAGUACUUGGACAGACUUUAAGAAAGAGUGGAGGAGAGAAAGGCCUGGUGUGCUAUGGUCCAUAAGGUCAUGAAGAGUUGGAUGUGACAGAACAACUGAAUAACAAAAGUCCAAACUGUAUCUGAGAGGGAAUCUCCUUCACAGAAACUCUGAUGAAUUAUCAUGGAAUCUGGAUUCAGUUUGAAUAUGCCCAAUUUUGAAGAACUCACUGUCUUCCACGAUAGCUCAUUUGACUUUAUUUGGCUAAAUAUAAUUUAUAGGGAAUUACUUUCCCUUCUAUUGAGCUGUAAUUGAUCUUUUACCCAUAAUGCUCUUGGGCACCAAGCAAAACAAGUUUCAUAUCUUCUCCAUGGGAUCACUCCACCGAUUUGAAGAUAGCUUUUAUGACAUACUGAAAACUCUCUCCUCUAGAAGGAGAAUCCCCAGUUUUUUCACAUGUCCUCGAACGUCAUGAUUUGAGUUUCCUCAUAAUUCUGACCAAUUCUCUCUGGAUGCCUUCCAGUUUAUGUAUACUUUUCCUCAAAUAUGGAUCCCUAAACUGAGCACAACUCUUCUGUUAGGUUCUAAUUAGGGCAGAGCACAUUGGAGCAAUCAUUUUCCUAGUGUUAGAUACUUUUCUUCUAUUAAUCCAGCCUAAGAUUGAUUAGCUUUUUUUAACAUUGACUUAUAUUGGGCUUGUGGUAUAUUCAGCCUCACCCCCUACCUCUAUCCCUGGACUUUUUCACAAAAACUUUUUUCUAGGCACAUGAGAUCAUCAAUUAGGAUUGGAAGACCUCUUAUUUUACAAAUCAGCAAACCCAGGCUCAGAGAAAUAAAGUGGCUUGUCAUCUCCAUCAUCCUUUACUUGGAAGUUUGUUUAUUUAGCUCAAGUGCAUGGUUUUACAUUUGUCUUUAUUACAUUGCAUCAUUCUAGACUACCACAAUCUUUUUUUUGAAUCCUGAUUCUGUCAAUCAAUGUAUCAUUCACAGCUACAGUUUACCUACCAGGCUAUGGGAUCCUGACCCAUGAGUUUGUCAGAGGGGGUAACUGCCAGUGUGGAAGUUUCCUCCACCAAUGCAAAUAAAUCAUUCUUCUCUAAUUUAGUCUUAGAG